rnacentral:rRNA from 1 species
CCGGGUUGCGGACAGUGUCUGGUGGGUAGUUUGACUGGGGCGGUCUCCUCCCAAAGAGUAACGGAGGAGCACGAAGGUUAGCUAAUCCUGGUCGGACAUCAGGAGGUUAGUGCAAUGGCAUAAGCUAGCUUGACUGCGAGAGUGACGGCUCGAGCAGGUGCGAAAGCAGGUCAUAGUGAUCCGGUGGUUCUGAAUGGAAGGGCCAUCGCUCAACGGAUAAAAGGUACUCCGGGGAUAACAGGCUGAUACCGCCCAAGAGUUCAUAUCGACGGCGGUGUUUGGCACCUCGAUGUCGGCUCAUCACAUCCUGGGGCUGAAGUAGGUCCCAAGGGUAUGGCUGUUCGCCAUUUAAAGUGGUACGCGAGCUGGGUUUAGAACGUCGUGAGACGCUGGAGAAUUGAGGGGGGCUGCUCCUAGUACGAGAGGACCGGAGUGGACGCAUCACUGGUGUUCGGGUUGUCAUGCCAAUGGCACUGCCCGGUAGCUGAAUGCGGAAGAGAUAAGUGCUGAAAGCAUCUAAGCACGAAACUUGCCCCGAGAUGAGUUCUCCCUGAGACUUAAAGUCUCCUGAAGGAACGUUGUAGACGACGACGUGCAGCGAUGCGUUGAGCUAACCGAUACUAAUGAACCGUGAGGCUUAACCUUACAACGCCGAAG